UGUACUGAUGAUGAUACUUUGGCUCCCUCUGCUGAUGCCUGUGAGGAAAGCAGCCAUCCGUUACCCAAAGCUUCUGAUGGUACA